AGGCCAAACGAGAUUAUGGUUAGCAAACCAGUCAUAAAGAACGGGAACAAGAGACUUCCACUGAGUAUAACGCUCGUCGACGGAGGGUUGUUGUUGAGCCUUCAUCUUCUUGGUUUGCUGUUCGUCUUUUUUCUCGUCCUUAGGCUUGGGUUUUCGGCCUCUGGUCUCCUUCUUCUUCACCACAGGUUGCUGCGGCGGCGGCGUCUGCUGCUGUUGAGGCUGUUGUUGUUGUUG
rnacentral:misc_RNA from 1 species